GUUAACAUUGAUUCACUUAGGAAUUAUAAUAAGCAUUUAUAUCAACCAAAACAUGUGUUAAAAAUAAUAUCAAAUGUUAAAAAUGAAUCACAAAAUUAUAUAGAAAAAAUGUGUGAUGAAACUGAUGAUACGAUAAAUAGAAAGCGUGAAAUUAAAAACGCUCUUGUGGAUAAAUCACAAGUGCACGGCAUUACAGGACAGGAACCUGUAGCUAGUGAGGUAGAACUCCUAAGAGCGGAGAAAAUACGUUAUAUUUUGAAACAAGAUGUGAUGCUAGAUCUUUUUACAGAAUAAGCCAAUCACGAAUGAACAUGGCCAUGAUACAAAUUGUGCAAUUUUACGUAAAUACUUCGUGAAUAAAAUUAUAUGUACCUAUUUUACGUUCAAUACUAUUAAACAUUUUAUAGCUA